AGUGAACGCUGGCGGUAGGCCUAACACAUGCAAGUCGAACGGCAGCACGGUAAGAGCUUGCUCUUACGGGUGGCGAGUGGCGGACGGGUGAGGAAUACAUCGGAAUCUACUUUUUCGUGGGGGAUAACGUAGGGAAACUUACGCUAAUACCGCAUACGACCUACGGGUGAAAGCAGGGGAUCUUCGGACCUUGCGCGAUUGAAUGAGCCGAUGUCGGAUUAGCUAGUUGGCGGGGUAAAGGCCCACCAAGGCGACGAUCCGUAGCUGGUCUGAGAGGAUGAUCAGCCACACUGGAACUGGGACACGGUCCAGACUCCUACGGGAGGCAGCAGUGGGGAAUAUUGGACAAUGGGCGCAAGCCUGAUCCAGCCAUACCGCGUGGGUGAAGAAGGCCUUCGGGUUGUAAAGCCCUUUUGUUGGGAAAGAAAAGCAGCAGGUUAAUACCCCGCUGUUCUGACGGUACCCAAAGAAUAAGCACCGGCUAACUUCGUG
rnacentral:rRNA from 1 species